UCCGCCCUCUGGUGGCCAUAGUGGGAACUACAGUCCUGAUAAUGCUGCAUUAUUUACAUUUAAUAUCCACUUAAUGUGGAGUUUAGAGAAAAACUAACAGUCUUCCUGAGUCAUAUUGACAGUUUACUGACUCAUAUAUUAUCCUGACAUAUUUUAAUUCACUGUUUGGAGUUAUAUAUAUAAUAAAAACAGUUUUAAAUCAUAAAAUGAAGCUGCUGUGUUAAACUCUUACAGGUUUUUUCUGAUUACUGAAUAAAAUUCUGCAGUGACUUUUAUUUAACGACAGUAAUGUAAGCUGACUUGAUCUGACUUUAUAACAUUUAAAAUUAUAAUAAAGAUAAACAUCCGGUUGAACAAUUUCCAUGAAGAAUGUCUGUAGUUAUGAUAGUUCACCACCAGAGGGCAGUAAGAACUCAAUCAACCAUCAUAAAACUGAUAAUCUUUUAACUUUUCACUAAAUAGUUUCUAAUGACAACAGCUAUAUUAACUUAAUCCUGUGAAUAAUAAUCUAUAUAUUUCAUACUUGUAUGUUAUUAGAGAUGGAGAUUAAUUAUUAAAAUAAUUUAGACACAAAGUGAAAAACAACUACUUAGAAAGUAGCAAUUUUUUAUUACUCUAGAUGAAAAUGUAGCUGAAAAAAAAACACAACUUACAUUUUAUUCUGUAAAACUCCCAGGAAUAUUAAAUGAGGGUAAUUUUGAGAAUCAAAGUCUCAAAAAGCUACAAAUAUUAAGAAAAACAUAUUUAUUAGUGAUAAGUUUCAACCAGCAGAGAUCAGAGUGUAGCAUGUAAUGUAAUUAUGUAGCAGAAUGAAUUUUAUUUAUUUAUUUUAUUUUCCUUUAUGAAUCUUCUCAAAACUAAUUUCCUUUGAAUUGACAUGUCUGUAAUAUAUUAUUUCUGUUUUAUCUUGCUUUCAUUUUUGGUCCCUAGUGUGUAAAAAGCCAUCCUCCUCUAUGAAUAUUGGUUUUCCUUUGUUUUUUCAUUGUAUUUUGUUUUGGUGGGGAAGCUUUCAUUUUCUUACGUCCUGUUUGUGCAUUAUAUCCUGUGUGUUCCCGCUGCCCUCCUCAGUUCGCGCCAAGCUGCGCUGGGGAGAGGGUGUUUGUGGAGAAUCUGGAGCCCAGGAGCUGCUGUGCUUAAAAUGUUCCUGUUUUGAACAGGUAUGUGGGUUGUUUCAGAUUUUAUUCGGAUGUUAAAUUAAUGCAUUUAAUAUAUUUCUAUGUUAUGGUGGAAAAUUGUAAUUGUAGGGCAGAUUAUUUCUGUUUAGGUUUUAUUUUAAUUGCUUUGUAUGUCAGAGAAUUUUAGUUUUGUUUAAUGCAUUUCUGUCAGUUCGCGCCAAGCUGCGCUGGGGAGAGGGUGUUAUUAAGGAAGAAUAAUUUAUUAAAUUAACUUUGGACAAAACGUUUGGCUCUCUCUUCCUUAAUCUUCCGGGUCCUCUCAGCGGGCGACGUGCAGCCACAAGGAAACAACAAUGCGCGUUGACGUCACAGAAUCACAGAGUUUAAUUCCAUGCAAAGCAAUGCAUGAAUCAACAACAAAGCUGCAGAGGAACAGAGAUAUGCAUUGUUUACCUUAUACAAACAAAGACAGACAAGACAAAGACAGACAAAAAACAAAACAAAGACGCGUCUUUGGAGAGAGCCGAUGGAAAAAAGCAAAAUAGUGGCAGCUCUCUGAAUUUUUCUCCUGUACACGAAGUCUUAUACUAAAGGUGUGUCUUGUCUCUUUAAUAUAUUCACUUAAGGCAUAGCCCUUGUCAGCCAACUGGAAGCUACCUUGGACACUCAGAGAAACUUAGAAACUCCCCCUAAUUUACGCCAAAGAUCAAAGACCAUUUGCUCUCUGGUAAAAACAAAAGAGCCAACAGCUGCGUCCUGACCCCUGUGGUUCUACGGUCAUUUUGGGUACAGAGAAGCAUGAGAUAAGAUUUCACACCAUCCCAGAUGUUGGUUUCUGGCAGGCUUUUGAUCUGCUGUGAACAGAACAGGCUUCUCUCCCCCAAGCUCCAGUGAUUCUGCCCUGCAGGAUAUGCUAAUUUUAUGGCCUCCUGUGCUCUGACAGCACAGCAGGAGUCCCCAUUGAGAGAUCUGCAUUUGGCCCCUGUUGCCUUAAUGCUUGGUCAUCUGGUUUAGUUUUAAAUCCUUAACACAAACCUGUUCAAAAUAAAGAAAUUUGUUCAAAAUAAGAGUGUUGAAUAUACCUUUUACACAUGCCGUAAGAUUAACUGUAUUAAGCACUAAAAAUAAUCAUUUUUCCUCAACAGUGUUUGUGGAGAAUCCGAAGCAACAGCAAUGUUCUUGUUUUGAACAGGAAUAAAAUUAUCCUGAAUCCUGA